rnacentral:rRNA from 1 species
AGCGAACGCUGGCGGCAGGCCUAACACAUGCAAGUCGAACGAACUCUUCGGAGUUAGUGGCGGACGGGUGAGUAACACGUGGGAACGUGCCUUUUGGUUCGGAAUAACUCAGGGAAACUUGUGCUAAUACCGAAUGUGCCCUUCGGAGGAAAGAUUUAUCGCCAUUAGAGCGGCCCGCGUCUGAUUAGCUAGUUGGUGAGGUAACGGCUCACCAAGGCGACGAUCAGUAGCUGGUCUGAGAGGAUGACCAGCCACACUGGGGCUGAGACACGGCCCAGACUCCUACGGGAGGCAGCAGUGGGGAAUCUUGCGCAAUGGGCGAAAGCCUGACGCAGCCAUGCCGCGUGAAUGAUGAAGGUCUUAGGAUUGUAAAAUUCUUUCACCGGGGACGAUAAUGACGGUACCCGGAGAAGAAGCCCCGGCUAACUUCGUG